rnacentral:rRNA from 1 species
GGUCAGGAUGAACGCUAGCUACAGGCUUAACACAUGCAAGUCAGGGGCAGCAUGAAGUUGCUUGCAAACUUGAUGGCGACCGGCGCACGGGUGAGUAACGCGUAUCCAACCUUCCCUAUACUAGAGGAUAGCCCGGCGAAAGUCGGAUUAAUACUCUAUGUUGUAUUUCGAGGACAUCUGAAGAAUACCAAAGGUUUACCGGUAUAGGAUGGGGAUGCGUCUGAUUAGGUGUUGGCGGGGUAACGGCCACCAAGCCUACGAUCAGUAGGGGUUCUGAGAGGAAGGUCCCCCACAUUGGAACUGAGACACGGUCCAAACUCCUACGGGAGGCAGCAGUGAGGAAUAUUGGUCAAUGGACGAGAGUCUGAACCAGCCAAGUAGCCGUGCAGGAUGACGGCCCUAUGGGUUGUAAACUGCUUUUAUACAGGGAUAAAGUGACGUACGUGUACGUUUUUGUAGGUACUGUAUGAAUAAGGACCGGCUAAUUCCGUGCCAGCCGCGGC